rnacentral:rRNA from 1 species
CGGAACGAGCCUUCGGGCAGCGUAGACAGGUGCUGCAUGGCUGUCGUCAGCUCGUGUCGUGAGAUGUUGGGUUAAGUCCCGCAACGAGCGCAACCCGUGUUGCUAGUCACAAGUGUCUAGCGAGACUGCCGGUAACAAGCCGGAGGAAGGUGCGGAUGAUGUCAAGUCAGCAUGGCCUAUAUGUCCAGGGCUACACACACGCUACAAUGGCUGGUACAAAGAGAAGCGAAAGGGAGACCUGAAGCGAAUCUCAUCAAAGCCAGUCAUAGUUCGGAUUGCAGGCUGCAACUCGCCUGCAUGAAGUCGGAGUUGCUAGUAACCGCAGGUCAGCAAUACUGCGGUGAAUACGUUCCCGGGCCUUGUACACAC